AGCCUAUCAACAUCGAACGAGUGUUCCCUUUCUCUGCACUCUGACAGCAUUGUUACCAGUUGAUUUGUUGAUUUUAGCUGUUGUGACUGGGUAUUUUCAGAAUUCUCCACACUGAUGUCCAUAGUGGUUGUAGAAGAUUGCAGUCCCACCAAGACUGAAUGAAUGUCGCUUAAUCCAUAUCCCCUUCUUCAUUUAUGCCUAGGAACAGUGCUGAAGAGGCUGAAGCCAUGUUCCCAACAGUUUACCGUGUUGCCUCAUCAUCCAGCAGAACAAUCCCAAGGUCUCUGGAAAGUAGAUUGGUCUGCAGACCCUAGGAAGUGGCACCCAGACAGGAUGAGGCCGUCUGAGUCCAGGUGGCCUUGGGUUCUCUGCCUCUCUCUCAUCCCUGUGACUGUAGUCUGGAAUUAUUCAGCCCACCUCUAAUCUUGGGUCUCUGAUCUGGACAGAGGUAGUUCUGGAUUAUCUAAGAGAACACAUUGAGCAAGGCAUGGGAUACAAGACCUGAGUUCCGAAGAUGAUGGAUCACAACCUACAAGAUGAAAUGAACCCUUACCUCUCCAAGCUGAUUUUGGUCAUAAGUAAUAGCUUAAAUAUCAAAGCCAUGAUCUCUAUAUCUGCUACAUUUGCAUCAUGCUUGCCUACAGAGCACUAUAGGAACAAGGCCCUCUCAAGCUUUCUUUGUUUUUUGUGUCCACUUUUCCUCGGAUUUUCUGAAUCUUUUUGUGUCUCCUGGUUUCCUGAGGAUGAUCUUUUCAGGCUAAUGGACACCGAAGCAGUUGCAUUUGAACUGAGCUAUAUACACUGGCCUCUGCUGUUUUAUUGACCUGGUAAUAUUUUCCACUGGACUUAGUAGCAUGAUAUCCCUUGGGGUCUUCUUUUCAUUCACCAUUUUCAGAAAAUGUCUGUUUUGUUCCCACUAAUCAAAACCCUGUGACUAUGUGACCCUAAGUUAUAUGACUUUUCUUUACCUCCUCCCUAUUACUCAUGUUAGCAGAGUCUAGAAGCCAAUCCCCAGUUUCCAAUGUCAUAUGACAGUUUGAGUGUUACUUCAUAAAGUUUAUUUCAUUUCGGGA